rnacentral:lncRNA from 1 species
UCGCCCAUAUACUAGAAUUGCUCUACUCUCUAUUCCCAUAUUAUCACUCACUGUUAUCUUACCUUUAAUAUUGUUCUUAUUCGAUUCUACCAUCUUUCCUAUUCACACCUAUUUACUUAUCUUGGUUAAGUUAGAGCGUAGAUCAGUUCUCCUGUUUCCCUGUGGAUACGAUAAAACCUUUAACCGGGUAAAAGCUUCAACGGUAUCCGUGCGCUUGCGGAUUAUCUGUGUGCGUAUAAAUACCAUAGUACACUCUAGUGCCACGCUGGGGAUGACAACCUAGUAUUCAAGUGGUGUUAGCAAGUGUCAACAAGCAUUUUUGGCGCCGUUGCCGGGGAAACGGUUGUUGAGUUGACUACGAACUAGUUUAAUCAUUUUAUAAAAAAAAAUAUAACAAAAAAAAUAUUUUCCUUUUAUCCUUUGCCUCAUCUCUGCUAUUCUUUCUUCUUAUCUAAUCCUUGAUCUCUGGUCUAUUAUGAAUUCAAACAUGUCUAUCUAUGAAUUUCAUAGACCUAUGGGCACACAUCUCGAACCACCAAAAUCUUCAAAGCCUAUCAUAUCAUCUAGUUUUUAGAUAGACCCCGAAUACAUAGAAUUUAUUCAAAAACAACCUUUCUCAGGAGAAGGUGAGGAAAACCCAUACACACACCUAAGAGAGUUUUAUCGAGUCUGUGACCUCCUUCGCAUAGAAGGCAUGUCCGAUGAGACCCUUAAAUGGAAGCUCUUUCCGUUCUCUUUAACGGGAAAAGCUAGACAUUGGUAUAAACUCAAAGUAGGGAGUGUUC